UUAAAAAAUAUGUUUUGCUGUAAAUAUGGACAAACAAUGAUUUGUGCGGGUUUUAGGUGGGCAUGCAAUGAGUUAUUUGGUGCCCAUGAAGGAUCUACAUACAUGG
rnacentral:snoRNA from 1 species